rnacentral:rRNA from 1 species
UAGGAAUUUUGCGCAAUGGGCGAAAGCCUGACGCAGCAACGCCGCGUGAGUGAUGAAGGCCUUCGGGUUGUAAAGCUCUUUUAGUUGGGAAAAACACAAUGAUGGUACCAACAGAAACAGCACCGGCUAACUCUGUGCCAGCAGCCGCGGUAAUACAGAGGGUGCAAGCGUUAUUCGGAAUUAUUGGGCAUAAAGCGCAUGUAGGUGGUUUGAUAAGUCUGAUGUGAAAUCCCCGGACUCAAUUCGGGAAGUGCAUUGGAUACUGUCAGGCUAGAGUAUGGGAGAGGUGAGCGGAAUUCCAGGUGUAGAGGUGAAAUUCGUAGAUAUCUGGAGGAACAACAGAGGCGAAGGCGGCUCACUGGACCAUUACUGACACUGAGAUGCGAAAGCGUGGGGAGCAAAC